AUUGAACGCUAGCGGGAUGCCUUACACAUGCAAGUCGAACGGAGUGGCGAACGGGUGAGUAAUGUAUCGGAACGUGCCCAGUAGCGGGGGAUAACUACGCGAAAGCGUAGCUAAUACCGCAUACUAUUGGAGUGGCCGAUAUCGGAUUAGCUAGUUGGUGGGGUAACGGCUCACCAGGGCGACGAUCCGUAGCGGGUUUGAGAGGAGGACCAGCCACAUUGGGGCUAGGACAAGGCCCGAACUCCUACGGGAGGCAGCAGUGGGGAAUUUUGGAAAAUGGGGGAAACCCGGAUCCAGCCAUCCCGCGUGUGGAAUGAAGGCCUUCGGGUUGUAAAGCACUUUUAGCAGGAAAGCGGUACCUGAAGAGUAAGCACCGGCUAACUACGUGCCAGCAGCCGCGGUAAUUC
rnacentral:rRNA from 1 species